UACGUAGGGUGCGAGCGUUGUCCGGAAUUAUUGGGCGUAAAGAGCUCGUAGGCGGCCUGUCGCGUCGGAUGUGAAAGCCCGGGGCUUAACCCCGGGUCUGCAUUCGAUACGGGCAGGCUAGAGUGUGGUAGGGGAGAUCGGAAUUCCUGGUGUAGCGGUGAAAUGCGCAGAUAUCAGGAGGAACACCGGUGGCGAAGGCGGUUCUCUGGGAAUAUCCUGACGCUGAGGAGCGAAAGUGUGGGGAGCGAACAGG
rnacentral:rRNA from 1 species